rnacentral:rRNA from 1 species
CUGUAAGCCUGUGAAGGUGGCCUGUGAGGGUUGCUGGAGGUAUCAGAAGUGCGAAUGCUGACAUAAGUAACGAUAAAGCGGGUGAAAAGCCCGCUCGCCGGAAGACCAAGGGUUCCUGUCCAACGUUAAUCGGGGCAGGGUGAGUCGACCCCUAAGGCGAGGCCGAAAGGCGUAGUCGAUGGGAAACGGGUUAAUAUUCCCGUACUUGGUGUUACUGCGAAGGGGGGACGGAGAAGGCUAUGUUGGCCGGGCGACGGUUGUCCCGGUUUAAGCGUGUAGGUGUGUGUUCCAGGUAAAUCCGGUUCACUUUAACACUGAGGCGUGAUGACGAGGCACUACGGUGCUGAAGCAACAAAUGCCCUGCUUCCAGGAAAAGCCUCUAAGCAUCAGGUAACAUCAAAUCGUACCCCAAACCGACACAGGUGGUCAGGUAGAGAAUACCAAGGCGCUUGAGAGAACUCGGGUGAAGGAACUAGGCAAAAUGGUGCCGUAACUUCGGGAGAAGGCACGCUGACAUGUAGGUGAAGUGAUUUACUCA